rnacentral:rRNA from 1 species
CUCAAUGAAAUUUAAAUAGCCGCAAUUAUUAUUGUGCUAAGGUAGCAUAAUCAUUUGUCUUUUAAUUAAAGACCAGAAUGAAAGAUUUAACAUUUUUAUUUCUAUUUUAUAUUUAAUUCCUCCAAUUUAUCCUAAAUAUUAAAAGAUAUUUAUUAAUUAAAAAGACGAUAAGACCCUGUUGAACUUUACUUUAGUUAAACUGGGGUAGUUAAUUAAAUAAUAUUUUAAUUUCAAUAUUACAAAAAUGAUCUAAUAUAAUUAUUCAAAUGAUCAAGUUACCAUAGGGAUAACAGCGUAAUAAUUUUUAUAAGAUCUUAUUUAUAAAAAAGUUUACGACCUCGAUGUUGAAUUAAUAACCUUUAAUAAUGUAAAAAUUUACCAAAGGAAGUC